rnacentral:rRNA from 1 species
AUUGAACGCUGGCGGCAUGCUUUACACAUGCAAGUCGAACGGCAGCGCGGGCUUCGGCCUGGCGGCGAGUGGCGAACGGGUGAGUAAUACAUCGGAACGUGCCCAGUAGUGGGGGAUAGCUCGGCGAAAGCCGGAUUAAUACCGCAUACGACCUGAGGGUGAAAGCGGGGGAUCUUCGGACCUCGCGCUAUUGGAGCGGCCGAUGGCAGAUUAGCUAGUUGGUGGGGUAAGGCCUACCAAGGCGACGAUCUGUAGCUGGUCUGAGAGGACGACCAGCCACACUGGGACUGAGACACGGCCCAGACUCCUACGGGAGGCAGCAGUGGGGAAUUUUGGACAAUGGGCGAAAGCCUGAUCCAGCAAUGCCGCGUGUGUGAUGAAGGCCUUCGGGUUGUAAAGCACUUUUGGCGGGAACGAAAAGGACUGUGCCAAUACCACGGUUCGAUGACGGUACCCGCAGAAUAAGCACCGGCUAACUACGU